UGUGGACAUUGUUAACUCAAUGUGCUCAAGCUGUUUCAAAUUAUGAUCAAAGAACUGCCAAUGAACUGCUCAAUCAAAUCAGGCAGCAUUCUAAUCCAUCUGGGGAUGGUAAUCAAAGAUUAGCUCAUUACUUUGCUAAGGGUCUCGAGACUCGUCUUGCCGCUGGUACGCCUCUAUAUUUGCCCUUUGCAAGUAAUGAAACCUCUGCUGCUGAGAUCUUGAAAGCUUAUCAGAUGUUCAUCAAGGCGUGCCCGUUUCGGCGGAUGUCAUAUUUCUAUGGCAAUAGAACAAUUCUGAAGUUAGCCGAGAAAGUAACAACAUUGCAUAUUGUUGAUUUUGGGCUUUUGUAUG
rnacentral:lncRNA from 1 species